rnacentral:misc_RNA from 1 species
CCAAAAAUAACCUUCAGCGCUAUUGUAACUUUAAUAUAACUACCUAUCCUUCCCGUGAAUAGGGGAUCGAUGACUUCCAAAUGCAUACAAAAUAUUCUUUUUAAAGCUUAAGGGGGCCUAAUUGUGCUCAUAUCGAUAUCGAAAAACUGUGUGCAUGUUAAUUUGUGAUAUUUUUUGUGAAAUUUCACUUUUUAGAACAAAAAGAUCUUUUCAAAAUUUACUCGUCCUUGUAAGUUAUAUUCAGUGCUAGAUUAUUUCUAUUAAUAGAUUGAAUAAGUUAAAUAAAUCAUUACAUGAGUAGGCUUAACUUUCCGACGUUCAUUGGCGCUUGUUCAUCGAUGAAGUUCGAGUGGCCACUACAAGGCAACGGGUCACAAGUACCCGCUCUGGAAUUACUAUAUUGGUAUUAGAAUAUUCAUUAUUAUAUACAUCACAGGCGCCUGGGAAUUCGUUUAUUUGGAAUUAAUUUUUCUAUUCAUACAAAUAUUAGUUUAAAUAUUUGAAUGAAAACAUGCAAUUAUUAAAAGAAUAAUUAGUUAAUUCAGUCUUACAGUUCAAAAAUAAAAUUUAAUUAAAGCUACUUUACGAUACACAAAAGUUAAACUUCAGGUAAAUACAAAGCUUUUUGGACGGUAACAAUAAAAUAAUUAGGAAGUACGUUUAUUGUACGCUAAUGAAAUUAGAUAAAUACCAAAGCAAAAUAUUUAUGAUAUAGGUUGAUUCCGUUUCGGAAAUACAUCUGCCGAUUUUAAAGUAAUUUUAUAAUUACUAUCUUAUUCUGUCCCACUGAGGUACUUUUUGCUGGUUGUACUUCUAUCAAAGUUAAAAUUUAGUCUAUCUUGAAUCCAAUUACACGCACAUAAAAUUGGGUUAUUAUAUUUAUAAUAGCAAUUUAUAUUGCUGCGUAAGUACACAAAAUAUGAAUUAUUACUAAAAAAUAAAAAAGUAAACGACUGACAAUAUUGAACGAGUUUGUUGCUACAAUAAUGUAAAUUAAUGAUGCCUUAUAAAUAAAUACAAAUAAAAAAUACAUCCAUAAUAUACAUAUACAAUACAAUGAAAUAAAUAUGAUACAUAAUACAGUUUAUUGUACACUAAAAAAAAGUAUUGAAGUAAAAAGGGCAGCCUUAUCGCUGAAAGUGAUCCAAGCAAUCUAGGGACAGUGGAGAGGGUAUUGUGUCGGUGUAGGUGUACAAAUUGUGAUAUAAAAAUUGAAAGUGAGAUGUAAGCGUAUAAGGAUACAUACAUAAAAUUUAAUACAUAUUCACAUAUAAAUACAUACAUG